ensembl:rRNA n-R5s13 nuclear encoded rRNA 5S 13
GUCUAUGGCCAUACCACCCUGAACCUACUCGAUCCAGUCUGAUCUCGGAAGCUAAGCAGGGUCAGUUCUGGUUAGUACUUGGAUGGGAGACCACCUGGGAAUACCAGGUGCUAUAGGCA